rnacentral:rRNA from 1 species
AACGUAGGAGACAAACGUUAUCCGGAGUUACUGGGCGUAAAGGGCGUGCAGGUGGUCUGUUAAGUCUGGCGUGAAAGCUCUCGGCUAAACCGGGAGAGGUCGUUGGAUACUGGCGGACUAGAGGACGGUAGAGGCGUGUGGAAUUCCGGGUGUAGUGGUGAAAUGCGUAGAGAUCCGGAGGAACACCGGUGGCGAAGGCGGGUCUCUGGGCCGAUGACUGACGCUGAGGAGCGAAAAGCAUGGGUAGCGAACGGGG